rnacentral:lncRNA from 1 species
AAGCGGGAAAGGUCGGCCCCUAGUGCCAGAGUGUUGGAGCUCUUUGGCGUGGUCAGAGCGCGGGCUGGCUUGUCUCACCGUACUAUGAGUACUAUAGUUACUAUGUGCCUGACUUAGUUUCGUGAAGAUUAUUUCACGUCUCUAAAAAUAUGUCAUGCAUCACAUUAAACGGUACGAUAGCAUUUGUUCGACCCUUUCCUGCGGUAUUACGGUGUACACAACAUCGAUUAGGGCACAGGAACAUUGUCAAGAGAGAUGGACUGAGUGUCCCACAGUUCUGUCAGACUUGAUGUACACAGAGCAAUCAGAGAAGACCAGCUGAUGAUCAAUAAUGGAAAGGUGUAAGCUGGACAAAGAGAAAUACAAAAUGUACAGUUUGCGGAGAAAAGGAACACUAGGGGUGUAAUCAGAGCUAAGUCCAGUGCUCAUAGGAUACAAAAGUUAAAGAAAAGCCUGAGACUAAAAGGAAUACAGGGAUUACAAUCUCUGGGCAAGAUCCCACCCAGCCAAGCACCCAAACUGUGAAAGGAAUGAAAGAAAAGCUCAAGCAGCGAAGGAGACCACCAACAGCAGAAGCUGAACCCGAUAUCAGACAACAGGAGGCCAAGUUCCAGCCUCAGCAAGCAGCAGAACUUGGCAGCUUCCAAGAGUCAAAGACAGGAGAGAGGGCUGUGGAAUCUCCCUCCACAACUAAGGAAAGCCACUGCAGCCAGGCACAUGCCAGGCAUGGAGGCCCAGAGAGACCAUUUGUGAAGCUGUGAAGGUGACACCUGGAUUGUUGGAGACCCCAGGAUGCUGGAGAUGCCAGAGUCAUGGGGUACCUACCUAGGAAAGCUGCAGACCAGGUGUGGGACCCGGUCAAGAGAGAAAAGGAUGCUACAGUCGAUGAGGCUGGUGGAGUUGGAGUAUUUCGGCAGUCUCCCAACAUCUUCCAUGUUGACAACAGGCCCUGGAAGAGCAUCCUGUGAGCUUGUAAAGGGAAGGGAGGGAAAGGAGAAGCCAAACAGGCAACACUGGAACACGAACGUGGUUUUUAUUAUACAGCACACCUGGUAUCCAUAUCCUAAAAACUUCCAGAAGACUCCACGAAACCUAGUUUAUACUAAGACAACACUUAGGGUUGCAACUCUCAAAAAACAAAACAGACAAACAAAAUGGUCCCACUGUAACAAUGCCAUGGAAAGAAUCACACUGCACAAGAAAGGAGGGUACAGAGGCUAAAAUUGGUGUCGAGUAAAUGUUUGUUAUUGCACUUUAUUCUAUACACUUAAUAUGUUACACUUUUAUAUAACACUGUAAUAAACAUUAGUCCUUUAAAACAAAAACAUUACAUAAAGACAAAAAAAAAAAAACCCAACUCCUCCCCACCCAACCCCCCCAAAAAAAACCCAAACCAAACCCCAGCAGGCCAUCCAGACUAAUCUUGUCAACUCUCCAGGCUACUUGGUGUGCCAGAUGACGUCAGGUAUUUGUACAUUCUUCACCAUCAUGACAAUCACACUAGAUGCUAAUAAAGCACAUCAAGU